GGGCGUGUAGCUCAGUUGGUAGAGCGUGUCAUUAGCAUUGUCAUCUCUGAUGGCCUCUUGAUCUUGACAAGGUCUUUGGUUCGAUUCCUAACUCGUCCA
rfam:Trichosporon oleaginosus strain IBC0246 unplaced genomic scaffold CC85scaffold_9, whole genome shotgun sequence.